AACGAACGCUGGCGGCAUGCCUAACACAUGCAAGUCGAACGAGACCUUCGGGUCUAGUGGCGCACGGGUGCGUAACGCGUGGGAACCUGCCCUUAGGUUCGGAAUAACUCCCCGAAAGGGGUGCUAAUACCGGAUAAUGUCUUCGGACCAAAGAUUUAUCGCCUUUGGAUGGGCCCGCGUUGGAUUAGCUAGUUGGUAGGGUAAAAGCCUACCAAGGCGACGAUCCAUAGCUGGUCUGAGAGGAUGAUCAGCCACACUGGGACUGAGACACGGCCCAGACUCCUACGGGAGGCAGCAGUAGGGAAUAUUGGACAAUGGGCGAAAGCCUGAUCCAGCAAUGCCGCGUGAGUGAUGAAGGCCUUAGGGUUGUAAAGCUCUUUUACCCGGGAUGAUAAUGACAGUACCGGGAGAUUAAGCUCCGGCUAACUCCGUG
rnacentral:rRNA from 1 species